GCGAUGGAUAGGGGUUCUGAGAGGAAGGUCCCCCACAUUGGAACUGAGACACGGUCCAAACUCCUACGGGAGGCAGCAGUGAGGAAUAUUGGUCAAUGGGCGCGAGCCUGAACCAGCCAAGUAGCGUGAAGGAUGACUGCCCUAUGGGUUGUAAACUUCUUUUAUACGGGAAUAAAGUCACUUACGUGUAAGUGUUUGUAUGUACCUUAUGAAUAAGCAUCGGCUAACUCCGUGCCAGCAGCCGCGGUAAUACGGAGGAUGCGAGCGUUAUCCGGAUUUAUUGGGUUUAAAGGGAGCGUAGAUGGGCUUUUAAGUCAGUUGUGAAAUUCUGCGGCUCAACCGUAGGACUGCAGUUGAAACUGGGAGCCUUGAGUGCAGUUGAGGUGCAUGGAAUUCGUGGUGUAGCGGUGAAAUGCUUAGAUAUCACGAAGAACUCCGAUUGCGAAGGCAGUGCACCAAGCUGUAACUGACAUUGAUGCUCGAAAGUGUGGGUAUCAAACAGGAUUAGAUACCCUGGUAGUCCACACGGUAAACGAUGAAUACUCGCUGUUGGCGAUAUAUUGUCAGCGGCCAAGCGAAAGCAUUAAGUAUCCCACCUGGGGAGUAC
rnacentral:rRNA from 1 species